GACGAACGCUGGCGGCGUGCUUAACACAUGCAAGUCGAACGGAAAGGCCCUGCUUUUGUGGGGUGCUCGAGUGGCGAACGGGUGAGUAACACGUGAGUAACCUGCCCUUGACUUUGGUAUAACUUCAGGAAACUGGGGCUAAUACCGGAUAGGAGCUCCUGCUGCAUGGUGGGGGUUGGAAAGUUUCGGCGGUUGGGGAUGGACUCGCGGCUUAUCAGCUUGUUGGUGGGGUAGUGGCUUACCAAGGCUUUGACGGGUCGCCGGCCUGAGAGGGUGACCGGCCACAUUGGGACUGAGAUACGGCCCAGACUCCUACGGGAGGCAGCAGUGGGGAAUAUUGCACAAUGGGCGGAAGCCUGAUGCAGCAACGCCGCGUGCGGGAUGACGGCCUGCGGGUUGUAAACCGCUUUCGCCUGUGACGAAGCGUGAGUGACGGUAAUGGGUAAAGAAGCACCGGCUAACUACGUG
rnacentral:rRNA from 1 species